GGACAUUAGGACAUACUUCCUCAACAUGAUAAGGGAUCUAGAGAGUCGGUUCCGCUGGUUUAAAACCAACCAAGCCUGUUACUCAGAUCAGGAGGUGAUCACAGUCUUUAUUACUCUGAUGGAGAGAAGUGACAUUACUGAUUAUUAAAUGAACACUUACGAGAAAUAGAUCUUGAGUUUUUGUAAUUGUUAUUUGCAGGGAUUCUCUUAUCAUGUCAACACAGAGGAUUGUUUCACUGGCAUACAGUGUGUAUCUGGGAGGGUUACAGAAUUCAUUUCCUGUAACUGCAUGGAGGCUGUCACCAUGCCACUUGAGGACCAUGUGCAACCCUUUGAAAAGUUGACUUGCACGUACCUGUUUGUGGGAGCAGAUGGUCAGGUGGACACUUCCACUUGGGUUCAGGAUCAUGAAGAUAACUCUCCCUACAGCGAUUCAGAGAGUGAACCAGACACUGAAGUAAGUCCGUGUUUCAGACCUGAUGUGUAUCUACAUACGUUGUUAUUCCCCUGAAUGUGAGGCUGUAAAAUUUACCGUGGGAGUUGUAUUGACUCAAUGUUAAUGUGGCUUGCAGCCUUAAGAUUAUAUCCUGAAUAGAGUACAUCUGUAAAUAGUAUUAACUUUUAGUAAAGUGCUUAUAUAGUUUGAUUUAAUAAAAACUUUCAUUUGCUCCUAUUGCAGCCUCAUUCUGAUUAUUUCUGUUCAUCAAGAUAUAUACCAUGUUCAUUCAAAAAGCAACCCAAACACACAAAAUGAAUUUCACACUGAUAUACAAAUCCUUUUUAAAGAAUGUCAUAAACUUUGAGUAAUUCUCUAAAAUAUGGAAAACGACAAAUAAAUAGAUAUUUAUAGCAUUGGAGAAUAUAUUGGGAGACCCAGCCUUUAGAAAAGUCUGAUUAUAGAGUC